rnacentral:snoRNA from 1 species
GAUAUACGAUGAUUUAAAUAACUGCAACAACAUGAUAUCUUGUGAUUACGAGAGUAUUUAAGUCUCUGAUGAUC